UACGAAGGGGGCUAGCGUUGCUCGGAAUUACUGGGCGUAAAGGGCGCGUAGGCGGACAUUUAAGUCAGGGGUGAAAUCCCAGAGCUCAACUCUGGAACUGCCUUUGAUACUGGGUGUCUUGAGUGUGAGAGAGGUAUGUGGAACUCCGAGUGUAGAGGUGAAAUUCGUAGAUAUUCGGAAGAACACCAGUGGCGAAGGCGACAUACUGGCGCAUUACUGACGCUGAGGCUCGAAAGCGUGGGGAGCAAACAGG
rnacentral:rRNA from 1 species